UACGGGGGGAGCAAGCGUUGUUCGGAUUUACUGGGCGUAAAGGGCGCGUAGGCGGUCGUGACAAGUCACUUGUGAAAUCUCCGGGCUUAACUCGGAACGGUCAAGUGAUACUGUCGGACUAGAGUACAGAAGGGGCAACUGGAAUUCUCGGUGUAGCGGUGAAAUGCGUAGAUAUCAGGAGGAACACCAACGGCGAAGGCAGCACUCGUGGGCCGGUACUGACGCUGAGGAGCGAAAGCGUGGGGAGCGAACAGG
rnacentral:rRNA from 1 species